rnacentral:rRNA from 1 species
UACGUAGGGGGCUAGCGUUGUCCGGAUUUAUUGGGCGUAAAGAGCGUGUAGGCGGCCAGAUAGGUCUGCUGUGAAAACUCGAGGCUCAACCUCGAGAUGUCGGCGGAAACCAUUUGGCUAGAGUCCGGAAGAGGAGAGUGGAAUUCCUGGUGUAGCGGUGAAAUGCGCAGAUAUCAGGAGGAACACCGGUGGCGAAGGCGGGUCUCUGGGCCGUAACUGACGCUGAGGAGCGAAAGCUAGGGGAGCAAACGGG